rnacentral:tRNA from 1 species
GCACCCGUAGCUCAGCUGGAUAGAGUACUGCCCUCCGAAGGCAGGGGUCGUGAGUUCGAAUCUCGCCGGGUGCACCA